UGCUGGGGCGACGGCACAUGUGCCCACAGAGAGGGCUCUGAGUGCCACCUCUGGCACGCGUGCCAUAGGUUCGCCAUCACUGUUAUAGGAUAUCUGUGUCAUGACCAUGUUGAAACAGGUCUGAGAAAAUGACCUGGAUGUGGCCACUGGGUGGAGCUGUUGUGGAAGUUAUUUACAGCUCUAGUGGCAGUUAUAUGUGUCAGCAUUUAAACAGUGCAUCAUUGGAAUGUUGGUGCAACUGCCAAAUGACAUUCUCAACUGUCACUAAGUCAGAGUAAGACAGUUGGUACCUCAGAGUGGGUUGUAACUAGUACGGAUGGUGUCAAUGUAUAUAUUGUUGUACACAAUGGAACUUCUUCUAAGAAUAAAAGCCUCAUCUGAGAGAAAUUUACAAUGUCUCUUUGCUCAUUGAGAAAGCGACAAGUGUUUCUCCAGCUCACAAGCUGCUGACUAAAGUCACGAAGGUGGAAAAUCUGGUGCCAAACGUUGACAUAUUGCUUCACGCACUGCACAGCAUCAAAAGCAUUUUAACAAUCUGAACUAAAGCAUUCAAAUGGUUUUAAUGUACUCUGAACUUUUUUUGAAAAACAACCCAUCUUAUUCGCCCAAGCAAUAGUUUUAAUGUAAGUAGUAAAGAAGUUUAAUCCUGAUACAACAUAAUGAGCAUAGAACAGAUAAAAAUAUAUCCUCAUAAGGUGCAUAUUUCUUGAUGCUUGUGCAUGAGAUUUCUAGCUCUGCUGUGAAGACAACCUGUAUCUGAUACUAGAUAAAGAAUAAAAAGUUUGAAAACUGUUGGAAGUAUUCAAACAUCCACAGGACUCAGUGCCAACACACAGGUUGUACAGACCAGCAUCUAUGGCUGGCCUGGGGUGGAUUUGGGUUGUGGCGUCUACACAAUGCACACCCCAACUCUGCCCACAGGCCAGCAUGAUGCCACACAACACCACAUGGUGCGUGGCGUCAUGGCAGUCCUCUGGCGUUUCAUAAAAGCUGUGGCACUGGCAGCUACGGCACCCUUUCCACAAUGGAGAAAGGAGCCACUUUUUGCAGCUCCUUUUUGCAUUGUGGAAAGGCAAGAUCAGGGCCAUGGAGUGCGGUUGCCCUGGCCCUGAUCUGGCUCUAAAAGGGAUGGCUGCAGGCUUCCCUUUUGGGGCAGUCUGUACAGCCCCUCAAUUAUCUGUUUGUCUGGUUCCUGCAUAUUAUCUCCUGAGCAAGAAGAUGGGUCUUCUUCCAAAUUAGUUUGAGUAGUUUGAGAAGUUAUAUUUAUGUCAUUUAUUUAUUUUAUAAUAGGAUUUGAUCCUGGUUGGAGAUUUUGUCUCAAGCCUGUGUUGGAUUCCUGUGUGUCAGGAGUCUUGCUGGUAAAUUGGGUUCUGCCCGAGUAAUAAAAAAUGUUACCUUUUCCAGCAUUAUUACUGCACACCUGAGUUUCUUUGUCUUUUUUUCUUCCAAGGUGUUUUUGUUGGUGUCCUAGUUCUGGCUGCAGUCAUUUUUGGACUUACUAAAUGGAAACCUUGGCUUAAAAAGGGGAAAAGUAGCUCUCAUUCUAACUCUACGGAUUCUUACAACCCAGUGCCAGGUAAAGAUGUAGUACUGCAAGAAGAAUCAAGACCCUGAUGUGUUUGCACUGGUUUUCUGAAGUAAACUCCAGUGACCUCCAGCUUCCAGCUGAUGAAUAACUGUCAGUUAUUCCCAUGAGAAGUGGAAAUGGGAAUUUAGUGAAAACAUUUAGUGAAGCCAUUUACAAAAUUACUGAUAUUGGCUAUGGCAAUUAAAACAUUUGGAUUAUGAAAGGAUGUUUGGACUUAGCAAAUACUUUGUUCUUUGCACACAGUGCUUCUAUAUAGAACUGUUCAGCACUUCUGCUCUUAUAGAAUGUCUCUGCUUCCAGAAUCCAAUAUAGGAUUUGGGAAAGGGGAUCUCUUGCCAGAAAAUGAUGCUUUAACUUGCCUUAAAUAAACGAAGACACUGUAAUGCAAAUGUCAUGGGAUCUUGCUAGGAUAUAUAGAAGAUUACCUAUUAACAUGAUUGUGCAUUUCUUUCCUCAAGCUUCUAUUCUGUAUACUUCCUCUUAAUAGAAAUGUAGCCUUUGAAGUCCAUACUUCUGAAUUCCUCAGGAUUUCUCAUACAGAGCCAUAAGUAAACCACUCUGGCUUCCCUCUUGUGGUUUUUAAAAUAUGCAGGGAAGAAUAUGUGCUUAAUAUAAAUUAAGGGCCUUAUUGCAUUUCAAAAGAAAGACAAAAAGCAGCGAGAUGGAAAUGGCUUCUGGUUUACCUUUCUGCAUGAUAUCAUAAUAAUUCCAGGAGGAGCCAGUCAUAAACUCAUAGCUUUUGUCAAACAGAUUUUUCCAGCAGGACAAAAGCUCAACAUUUACAAUCACCUCCUCGGUGAUAGAUCGGAAGUGCUUCAUAGACAUGUAGGAAGGUGAGUCAGAAACUGCUUCUGUCUUGCUGCCUUUCAUCUUUCUUUUGACAUCUGAUAAGGCCCCGAUACAUGUUGUGUGUUUUAAUAAGCAACAAAAGUUAGGUAUACUUAAUAAACCAAGACAAGUUUUAGAUCACAAAAUUUAUUGACUUUGGGGGCUCUUCCAAACUGGUCUAAACUUAGAAGUAUGAGUUCUCACAGUAUAGCUCCACAUGUUUUGCUAUUUGUUGUUUCCCCAGUCACUCGCUCCCUGCAUUUGCAAAGUUGUUUUGCAGGGUUCUUGGAUCUGCAGUGGGGUACUUCCAAACAUUUUUUUAAAAAACUGGAGUGUUAUUUGCUGAAGUAUUCCAUUGUUUUGAAGGGCUCAUUUUCUACUUCUCUUUUUUUAAUUCUUAAGAGUACAAAAGUGCUAUUUCACCAAUGCAUAAUUACUUUUUAAAUUUUAAAAAGAGAGAAAACAGAACAAUACUUUUGUUGUUAUUCUAAUAUGUCUUGGAAUUAAAAAGAAAUCAACUUGAGGGUGGGAAUAAAUUGUUUGCAGCUGAUGCCAGAAAUUGCCAGAUAAUUUAUGUGUGACAAUAGAAACAACAUUUUAUUACUUUAAAACAACCCUCCUUUCCCUGCCUCUUGGAACUACAGCAACAAAUGCUGCAACCAUCCAACACAUUUAUAUAUUCUGGAGGAGUCCUGAAUUGGAUAACCUAACUUGCUUUCUUAAUUCAUACCAAAAAUGCAUAAAGAGGCUGAGCCAAAGAUUGUUAAAUUCAAGAAUGUGUGUUUGGAAGUAAUGUCAUGAUUGUAAAAUUCAUAUUGAAUUGUAUAAUCUUUUGUUUAGUUAAAUGAAGGAUGUACAGACAGUAAACUUUAUCUGAAAGUAUUUGUCAAAAUAAUUAUAUAUUGAAUAAAAUUGUCCAACCAUGAAGGGUAA